rnacentral:lncRNA from 1 species
CCGACCUGUGGCCGGCACGGCGACCCAUUCCAAUUCCAAGCGCAUGGCAUCGAGGAUGUGAAUCGGGACCGACUAGUCUUUACGACGCGAGGGCGCGGCCAUGCUCACCAGCAGCAGCACAGUUCAAAAAUCGUGGCGUGUCCUGAUGAACAGAAUCCAAUUUGCAAGCAAGUGAACAAACCGUUGGGAUCGUUCUCAUUCUGGGCUGGGACUGGGAGGGUACGCGGAUCCGCCGCUCUUGCAGCAGCAAUAGCAGCUGUUUGACUGUCGAGAUCCGAUGCAACCCACUUGUGGGUUUUUAUUUUGGGCCUGAAAAAAAUAGUCUGACUUCAGACUGCAAUUG